UAACAACCAAAAAAAGAAGACCAAAAAUAUAAUUCAACAGAAGAUAAUGGCUGUGGUGAAGGAAGCACUCAAAUAAUGGAACUAAGACCUGUGGGAGUGCUGGAGAAAUCAAGUGUACCAAGUCCUCUGUCUCCUCAGCCAUGUAAGAGAUCUUCAGACAUAAAGAGAUUAAGGAGUUAAUCAAAGAGCUAAAAGAAGAUUUACAAUAUUAGUGCCAAUUCAGUAUGAAAACAGAAAGAGAGCUGAGGGAGUGGAAAGAAAUGCAUGUUAUUGUGCAAGGGGUAGUUGCAUGGACUCAGUGGAGGGACAGAAGCUUCAUUAUCAUUAUAAAGAUUUUAAUUUGUGUUCUGAAGUUGAACGAAAGAUGUGCGAAAGGUGAACGAAACACUUGGAACGACAUGACGACUACAUCCAAAAUAGUGUUUCCACAUCUGAGAUAAAG